rnacentral:rRNA from 1 species
AGAGUUUGAUUAUGGCUCAGGACGAACGCUGGCGGCAUGCCUAACACAUGCAAGUCGAACGGGGGUAGCAAUACCCUAGUGGCGAACGGGUGAGUAACACAUAAGCAAUCUGCCCUUCACAGGGGGAUAACAGCGGGAAACUGCUGCUAAUACCGCAUAAGACCACGGUACCGCAUGGUACAGGGGUAAAAACGAAUCAGUGGUGAAGGAUGAGCUUAUGUCCCAUUAGCUAGUUGGUGAGAUAACAGCCCACCAAGGCGACGAUGGGUAGCCGACCUGGGAGGGUGAUCGGCCACACUGGAACUGAGACACGGUCCAGACUCCUACGGGAGGCAGCAGUGGGGAAUAUUGGGCAAUGGAGGAAAAACCUCUUACCCAGCAAUGCCGCGUGAGUGAAGAAGGUCUUCGGAUUGUAAAGCUCUUUGAUUGGGGACGAAGAAAGUGACGGUACCCAAAGAACAAGCCCCGGCUAACUACGUGCCAGCCGCUGC